GGUUUCUGGAUGCUCGGUGGACGAGCGCAGAUUUGAAGGAUCUGUUGUCAAAAUGGCAACGCAGGUUCGAUUCCUGCCCAGACCA
rnacentral:tRNA from 1 species